CGUAAUUGGUAAAACGAAUAAGCUAAAUAACCGCAUAAACAAAUGGAUGACACAUGUCAUUUAGUUUGUAAAAGGGGCAAUUGUUCCACUACAAGAUGGACCUGCGUUGUAUUAGCUAGUAGGUGAGGUAAUGGCUCACCUAGGCGACGAUACAUAGCUGACCUGAGAGGGUGAUCGGCCACACUGGGACUGAGACACGGCCCAGACUCCUACGGGAGGCAGCAGUAGGGAAUCUUCGGCAAUGGGGGCGAACCCUGACCGAGCAACGCCGCGUGAGUGAAAGAAGGUUUUCGGAUCGUAAAGCUCUGUUGUAAGUCAAGAACGGGUGUGAGAGUGGAAAGUUCACACUAUGACGGUAGCUUACCAGAAAGGGACGGCUAACUACGUGCCAGCAGCCGCGGUAAUACGUAGGUCCCGAGCGUUGUCCGGAUUUAUUGGGCGUAAAGCGAGCGCAGGCGGUUUGAUAAGUCUGAAAGUUAAAAGGCUGUGGCUCAAACCAUAGUUCGCUUUGGAAAACUGUCAAAACUUGAGUGCAGAAGGGGAGAGUGGAAUUC
rnacentral:rRNA from 1 species